GCUUACAUAACUCCUUUUAGCUCUAUAUUUCUCUCAAAUUUUCCUUCUCUAAAAAGAGUCUCACCACUCUAUUCCAAGCCUUGAGAAUAGCUAGGAAGACCUCUUGGUGGUCCUCGCUAGAGCUAUUUGAAGAAAUUUGAAAAGCUACAAAAAUGUCAUUCCUUCUCGAUUGGCGUGCAAUUUUAUUUGAUUCCAUUUUCCAUGGAGCUUGCUCCUUCCAUCACCACUAAUUCGCUAUCAGACUCACUCAUCGAUUCCUAGAUCUUUCUUUUCCCUCAAAUCUAUCUGGAACUAAGCUUGAAUAAUCCAUAUUACCUUCAUCACAUUGACAACAUCAACUUAGUUCUUGUUACUCAAGUUCUAAAGGAAGAAAAUGACAAUUCAUGGAGUCGAUCUAUGCUUAUCAUUUUAUCGGUGAAUAAUAAGUUAGGUUUUGUUGAUGGAUCUUUGGUUCGUCCUACCGGUGAUCUGUUGCCCGCUUGGAUUCGAAAUAACCAUGUGGUCAUCGCAUGGAUACUCCAUUCGAUAUCCAAAGACAUUUCUGUUAGCGUUCCUUUUCAGAAUCUGCUCACGAUAUUUGGUUGAUCUAAAGGAGCAUUUUCAAAAGAACAAUGACCCUCGAAUCUUUAAAAUUAAGUGUGAUAUUACUACUUUAAGUCAAGAUGAACAGUUUGAGUAUCUAUUUUAUGAAACUCAAAACUACUUGAGAUGAAUUACAACAAUAUUGCCUUGUUUGCUUUUGUCAUUGUUCCUAUGGAGGAGCAAAAUCGACCGGGAAAUUUCUGCAGUUUCAAUAUAUGAUUAAUUUUUUGAUGGGCCUCAAUGAGUCUCAUGCCUCUACUCCGGCUCAAAUUUUGCUGAUGGAUCCUCCUCUGUCUGUCAACAAGGCGUUCUCGUUGGUGCGACAAGAAGAGCAACAACGUUCGAUUAGUUCUAGUUCCAGUGCUGUCUCUGCUUCUUCUUUUGCUAUGACAGUUCUACAUAGCACUACUCAAACCAAAACCUCGUCAAAAUAUAAUUCCUCUUCUAGCAAGCCACGUCAGAAUUGUCUGGUUUGCUCUCAGUGUGGAAUUUGUUGGCCCUACAAUUGAUCGCUGCUAUAAGUUACAUGGUUAUCUGCCUAGCUACAAGUUUCAAGGUCAGCAUACUUCUUCACCUAAUUCUCAGGUUAAGCCAGUUAAUUUUGUUGCUUCUUAGCUACCCAAUAGAUUUCAGUGAAGAAUUAUAAUCCUUUUGCCCCUACAUUGGCGUCUUAUUCCGAACCUGAUGUGGUGCAUCAAUGUCAAUAACUUCUUCAAUUGUCGCAAUAUCAGAUAUCUACAUUAGUAUCUUAUGGAGAAAAUAGUGCCUCGGUCUUUCACAUAGCAGAUCUUCUUAAGUUAUAAAGGAAGAUAGCGUGCACCAUGCUCUCAAGUUUAGAAGAACAUGAAGAGCACAGAGCCUUGUUUUUUUGUGAUAAUCAGGCAACUAUCCAUUUGGCAUCAAAUCCCGUAUUUCAUGAACGAACCAAACACAUUGAGCUUGAUUACCAUUUUGUUCGAGAUCUUGUUCGUGAUGGAUUUCUUCGUUUGCUUCCUGUUCGAUCACAUAUGCACCUCACUGAUGCUUUUACCAAGUCCCUUCAUAAUCCAUCUUGAGGGGGCGUAUUAGAUCUUCUGUUAUACUGUAACUUGUAUUAUUCAGUUGUAUUAUUAGUUAAAUAAAGCAGUUUUUAAUUACUUGGUUACUCUUCCAGUAUUUA